ensembl:lncRNA
GGGUGAUUUCCGAGGAGAAAAUUCAUGAUUUUCGCUUAAAUGGGGGAUUUCCGAAGAGAAAACGCGUGAAAUUUGCUUAAAUGUGGGAUUCUCAGAGAUAAAACAGUUGAUAUUCAAUGAAAUGGGGGUUUUCCGAAGAGAAAAUGUGUGAUUUUCGCUUAAAUGUGGGAUGUUUGAAAAGAAAUCUCAUGAUUUUCGCUUAAAUGGGGGAUUUUUGAGAAGAAAACACGUGAUUUUCACUUAAAUGGCAGAUUUCUGAAGAGAAAACGCGUGAUUUUCGCUUAAAUGGGGGAUUUCCGAAGAGAAAACACAGGAUUAUCGCUUAAAUGGGGGAUUUUCAAAGAUAAAAUGCAUGAUUUUCGCUUAAAUGCUGGAUUUGCGGUGAGAAAACGCUUAAAUUUUGCUUAAAUGGGGGAUUUCUGAUGAGAAACCGUGUGAUUUUUGCUUAAAUGGGGGAUUUCCGAAGAGAAAACGCGUGAUAUUUGCUUAAAUGUGGGAUUCUUGGAGAUAAAUCACGUGAUAUCCGAUUAAAAGUUGGAUUUCGGAAAAGAAAACUCGUGAUUUUUGCUUAAAUGGAGGAUUUCUGAUGAGAAAACGCGUGAUAUUUGCUUAAAUGGGGGGUUUCUGAAGAGGAAACACGACAUUGUCGCUAAAAUGGGGGAUUUCCGAAGAUAAAACGCGUGAUAUUUGCUUAAAUGGGGGAUUUCCAAAGAGAAAAUUCAUGAUUUUUGCUUAAAUGGGGGAUUUCCAAAGGGAAAACGCAUGAUAUUUGCUUAAAUGUGGGAUUCUCGGAGAUAAAUCACUUGAUAUUCAAUGAAAUGGGGGAUUUCCGAAAAGAAAACGCGUGAUUUUCGCUUAAAUGGGGGAUUUCCGAAGAGAAAACGCGUGAUAUGUGCUUAAAUGUGGGAUUCUCGGAGAUAAAACAGUUGAUAUUCAAUGAAAUGGGGGUUUUCCGAAGAGAAAAUGUGUGAUUUUCGCUUAAAUGUGGGAUUUUUGAAAAGAAAUCUCAUGAUUUUCGCUUAAAUGGGGGAUUUGCGAUGAGAAAACGCUUAAUUUUUGCUUAAAUGGGGGAUUUCUGAUGAGAAACCGUGUGAUUUUUGCUUAAAUGAGGGAUUUGCGAAGAGAAAACGCGUGAUAUUUGCUUAAAUGUGGGAUUCUCGGAGAUAAAUCACGUGAUAUCCGAUUAAAAGGGGGAUUUUCGAAAAGAAAAGUCGUGAUUUUUGCUUAAAUGGGGGAUUUCUGAAGAUAAAACGCGUGAUUUUUGCUUAAAUGUGGGAUUCUCAGAGAUAGAGAGCGUGAUAUCCGAUUAAAAGGGCAAUUUCCGAAAAGAAAACCCGGGAUUUUUGCGUAAAUGGGGGAUUUCCGUAGAUAAAACGCGUGAUAUUUGCUUAAAU